UACGUAGGGUGCAAGCGUUGUCCGGAAUUAUUGGGCGUAAAGAGCUCGUAGGCGGUUUGUCGCGUCUGCUGUGAAAACUCGGGGCUUAACCCUGGGCCUGCAGUGGGUACGGGCAGACUAGAGUGCGGUAGGGGAGACUGGAAUUCCUGGUGUAGCGGUGAAAUGCGCAGAUAUCAGGAGGAACACCGGUGGCGAAGGCGGGUCUCUGGGCCGAUACUGACGCUGAGGAGCGAAAGCGUGGGGAGCAAACGGG
rnacentral:rRNA from 1 species